rnacentral:rRNA from 1 species
GUGCCAGCAGCCGCGGUNAUACGUAGGGUGCGAGCGUUAAUCGGAAUUACUGGGCGUAAAGCGUGCGCAGGCGGUUCGCUAAGACCGAUGUGAAAUCCCCGGGCUUAACCUGGGAACUGCAUUGGUGACUGGCGGGCUAGAGUAUGGCAGAGGGGGGUAGAAUUCCACGUGUAGCAGUGAAAUGCGUAGAGAUGUGGAGGAAUACCGAUGGCGAAGGCAGCCCCCUGGGCCAAUACUGACGCUCAUGCACGAAAGCGUGGGGAGCAAACAGGAUUAGAUACCCUGGUAGUCC